AGCAGCCGCGGUAAUUCCAGCUCCAAUAGCGUAUAUUAAAGUUGUUGCAGUUAAAAGCUCGUAGUUGAAUUUCGGGAUUGACACAUCGGUCGUGCCUUAAGGGGUAUGAACUGGUGUAGUCAAUUUCUCACCUUCUGGAGAACCGCGAUGCCCUUAAUUGGGUGUCGCGGGGAACCAGGACCUUUACUUUGAAAAAUUAGAGUGUUUAAAGCAGGCAUUUUGCUUGAAUACAUUAGCAUGGAAUAAUAAAAUAGGACGGCAUGAUUCUAUUUUGUUGGUUUCUAGGAUCACCGUAAUGAUUAAUAGGGAUAGUUGGGGGCAUUAGUAUUCAAUUGUCAGAGGUGAAAUUCUUGGAUUUAUUGAAGACUAACUACUGCGAAAGCAUUUGCCAAGGAUGUUUUCAUUAAUCAAGAACGAAAGUUAGGGGAUCGAAGACGAUCAGAUACCGUCGUAGUCUUAACCAUAAACUAUGCCGACUAGGAAUCAGACGAUGUUAAUUUUUAAUGUACUUCGUUUGGCU
rnacentral:misc_RNA from 1 species